GCCUGGAUAGCUCAGUCAGUUAAGUGCCUGACUUCAGCUCAGGUCAUGAUCUCAUGGUUGGUGGGUUCAAGCCCCAUUUGGGGCU
rnacentral:tRNA from 1 species